GAUGAACGCUAGCUCCAGGCUUAACACAUGCAAGUCGCGGGGCAGCAUGGGGGUUGCUUGCAACUCCCGAUGGCGACCGGCGCACGGGUGAGUAACGCGUAUCCAACCUGCCCUUCACCACGGGAUAACCCGGCGAAAGUCGGACUAAUACCGUAUGUUGUCCAUUGACGGCAUCCGAUUUGGACGAAAGGCUUUGCGGUGAAGGAUGGGGAUGCGUCCGAUUAGCCAGACGGCGGGGUAACGGCCCACCGUGGCUACGAUCGGUAGGGGUUCUGAGAGGAAGGUCCCCCACACUGGAACUGAGACACGGUCCAGACCCCUACGGGAGGCAGCAGUGAGGAAUAUUGGUCAAUGGGCGUAAGCCUGAACCAGCCAAGUAGCGUGCAGGAUGACGGCCCUAUGGGUUGUAAACUGCUUUUAUGCGGGGAUAAAGUGGCCCACGUGUGGGCUUUUGCAGGUACCGCAUGAAUAAGGACCGGCUAAUUCCGUG
rnacentral:rRNA from 1 species